rnacentral:rRNA from 1 species
AGGGUUCGAUCAUGGCUCAGGAUGAACGCUGGCGGCGUGCCUAACACAUGCAAGUCGAACGAUUAAACCGUCCUCGGACGGACAUAGAGUGGCGAACGGGUGAGUAACACGUGACCAACCUGCCCCCCGCUCCGGGACAACCUUGGGAAACCGAGGCUAAUACCGGAUACUCCUCGCCCCCCUCCUGGGGGGCCCGGGAAAGCCCAGACGGCGGGGGAUGGGGUCGCGGCCCAUUAGGUAGACGGCGGGGUAACGGCCCACCGUGCCUGCGAUGGGUAGCCGGGUUGAGAGACCGACCGGCCACAUUGGGACUGAGAUACGGCCCAG